GGUGGAAUGGCCGAGUGGUUAUGGCGCUGCGUUCAGGUCAAGCUGAAUUUGAAUCUAGUAUUAGAUGCCGGUGGUAAAAUAUCGCAGUGGAGCAAUCCGCGUGGGUUCGAGUCCCACUUCCAUCA
rnacentral:tRNA from 1 species